rnacentral:rRNA from 1 species
GGAAUAUUGCACAAUGGGGGAAACCCUGAUGCAGCAAUGCCGCGUGUGUGAAGAAGGCCUGCGGGUUGUAAAGCACUUUUAUCAGGAAAGAACCUGCCUGGAGAUAAUACCCCCAGGCCCUGACGGUACCUGAGGAAUAAGCCCCGGCUAACUCCGUGCCCGCAGCCGCGGUAAUACGGAGGGUGCGAGCGUUAAUCGGAAUUACUGGGCGUAAAGCGCGCGUAGGCGGCGUGAUAAGCCGGUUGUGAAAGCCCCGGGCUCAACCUGGGAACGGCAUCCGGAACUGUCAGGCUAGAGUGCAGGAGAGGAAGGUAGAAUUCCCGGUGUAGCGGUGAAAUGCGUAGAGAUCGGGAGGAAUACCAGUGGCGAAGGCGGCCUUCUGGACUGACACUGACGCUGAGGUGCGAAAGCGUGGGUAGCAA